rnacentral:rRNA from 1 species
GAUGAACGCUAGCUCCAGGCUUAACACAUGCAAGUCGAGGGGAAACGACAUCGAAAGCUUGCUUUUGAUGGGCGUCGACCGGCGCACGGGUGAGUAACGCGUAUCCAACCUGCCCACCACUUGGGGAUAACCUUGCGAAAGUAAGAAUAAUACCCAAUGAUAUCCCUAGAAGACAUCUGAAAGAGAUUAAAGAUUUAUCGGUGAUGGAUGGGGAUGCGUCUGAUUAGCUUGUUGGCGGGGUAACGGCCCACCAAGGCAACGAUCAGUAGGGGUUCUGAGAGGAAGCUACACCACAUUGGAACUGAGACACAGUCCAAACUCCUACGGGAGGCAGCAGUAAGGAAUAUUGGUCGAUGGACGAGAGUCUGAACCAGCCAAGUAGGGUGCAGGAAGACGGCCCUAGGGAUUGUAAGCUGCUUUUAUAAGAGAAUAAAGUGAGUCUCGGGAGACUUUUUGCAUGUACCUAAUGAAUAAGGACCGGCUAAUUCCGUG